AAUUUAUGCAUUGAACAUUUUCGAAUUAAUUCUUAAAUCGUUCCCAAGCUUCAUAUAAUGUUUCAUCCUCUGGUUGCUAAAAAUAUGUGAUGUCAUUUCUAAGCUU
rfam:Gossypium arboreum cultivar AKA8401 contig_92586_1, whole genome shotgun sequence.